UUCCCUUAGAUUUUCGUAACAUUCAAUAAUUCAAAUUCAAGCUUUCAGUGCAUCGCAUUUAGCGAAAAAAUCAAAGAAUUUAAUUUAUAUAAGGGACACAUUAUGUCUAAUAAAACAACGGGUCUGGUAAAAUGGUUUAACGAAGAGAAAGGUUUUGGUUUUAUUACCCAAGACAACGGCGGUGCAGACGUAUUCGUUCACUUCCGUGCUAUCGCUUCUGACGGUUUCAAAACCCUGGCUGAAGGCCAAAAAGUUUCUUUCGACGUUGAACAAGGCCAGAAAGGUCCGCAAGCGGCGAAUGUCGUUGCACUUUAAUGUCGAAUUGUCUGGAAUUUUCCGGAUAUAAAAAGCGCGCCCAUUGAGGCGCGUUUUU
rnacentral:sRNA from 1 species